UGUGACAAUGCCACGCGUCAAUCCGGAACUUGCUAUUUUUCCGGAGAAACUGUUCAGUAAAUGAAUCGUUUAGCGCUUUUUUUUUUCUUCUUUACUUUGUUAAGAAACUGGUGGAGUUUGCAGAGUCACAACUUUUUGCAGGUUAACUACACCGAGAAUAAUGAAGUGGCAACGUGCGUAUCUGUGGAGCUCGGUGUGUGUGUGUGUGUGUGUGCUCUCCAGCCCCCUCGUCAGUGUGUGUCCUGGAUUCUGCAUGUUGUCUCUCGAGUAUUCUUCGAGGCUGAUAUAACAAAAAGCGAUGAGAGUCUAAAUCCAUAUCACACACACCACGUGUUUUAUGUUUUAUUUCUAUGAAACCAAAUCACUCCCGUUCUGGAGAAACCGUUUUCAUAACACUUUGUCUUAGACAAGUAAAAUCAAUUGCUCAUCUGGACAUAACAGGUUGGCUUUUGUAUCACAGCAACGAAUGGUGACAAAAAAGAAAGGAAAAAAAAGGCAGCCUUUCAAAGAAAACGCAUAGUCUUGAUUUUCUUUUCUUUUUUUACAUCCCAAGGAUUGUAACGUGUUUUUUUUUUUUUUUUUGACAAGGUACGUGUUUUCCUCUCCUGUCAAGACAGCAGCCAAACUCUCAGGAUGAACUGUCAGCUCCAUAUUGUAACACGAGCCAGGGAGACUGGCAAACGAACAGGUGGGGUUGUCAUAUGUUUGUGAAGGAGUCUGCUAAAUGUUCCCUCCAAUUAACAAACAGCUCAGACGCUUUCCCUCUCAGAGAUUCUCUCUCUCUCUUUCUUCACAGUUGUCGCUCGCUCCAUUUGGGAGAGACACACAAAUCGUUACAUGUCUCUCUGGCUCGGCCGAGAUGCGGCAGAUUGAAACACAUUUAGCCGUGGAGCUGGAAGAGUGGUGGCACGCUACCAGCGACUGCGUUGGCUGAUGGGGAAACUGAAGUGCUUGCAAAAAUGUUCUGCUAUGCUAGCGUCGUGAUCCUGCUUUGAAAAAAAAGAAGAAGAAGAAGAAGAAGAAGAAAAAUCAAAUGCUGAGAUAUCUGCAGAAGUCAGUAUUGCGACUGCAGGUGACUGAGAGGCAUGCAACUGGUUCCGUGCAACAGUCUGCCAAUUAAGUUUGUGGAUUCCCUCAGGGAAUGCAUUAUAGAUACAGAAUGCAUAAUGGGAUAGUUCAACAGUGACGCCGCAUGUAACCAGCGACGUUUGCAGCUUUGAGGGACUGUGAGGCUAGUGUGUAAUUAACCUGUGGUAAGUACUACAGUGUACUGUGAGUACUUUGAACACAUUAGUGGAGGAGAGAGAAGUGUCUGCUUGGUACUUAAACAGGUAGCUCACCACAGUGGGAGCACUGACUUUGCUCGAAACAAUGUAAAAAGGGGGUAAUUAAUUGGCCAGCCGUGGCCAUCAGGUGCUGUGGCAACAAUCUCUGAGGAUUUGAGAGUAGAAAAGAAAAGGCUACUGCCUAGUUUAAAUGGCUCAUUGGGUUUUUUUCCCUGACAACGUUUAACGAUGGGUUACCAGAGCAGCUUUUAAGUCUGAGGAGGAAACUCUGAGUCAGAUCUUGAGGCUUUCAGAUUAACAACAUGUCUACCACGGGAGCUGUUUAUGUCUAUUUAACGUGCGUCUGCCAUAACAGAUAUGCUCUUUUUUUCUGUUGUUUUGCCUGGACUGCUACAGUCGACAGCUGUUGGAGUUUCCCCAUUGGCCGGAAACUCCAAUUGGCGAGGCUAGUCCUGAAUGGCAUCCUCAGGAACCAAAAAGGCCAUGAAGGAACACGAACAGGUCACGUGAAUAUGAGCAGAACUGAACGCGUCAAUUCACGGGCAGGCAGCAUUUCUCUCUGCAGGUGAAAUGUUCAUAAACCUUUUUUUCCAUUAUACCUGAGAUAAAAGAAUAAGCACGCUGUACACAUUUGAUCGAUAUCUUGUCUUCGUUAAUCCAAGUUUACAUGUGUCUUGCUGUUACCUGUACCUGGUACCUCCUUCCAUACUACAGGGGCCUUAGAAACAAUAACAUGUUGACAUAGAGACAUCGAAAGAAUUGCACCUUAUAUAUGAUCUUCACCACUUCCACUCACCUACAAUGCAGGACUGAAUUCCUUCCCCAGUCAGCUUCACAACAGUUCAUACCAGAGCUCAUGUAGCUCUAGCAACCAACAUCAAGGCUGGUUGGGUCAACAACCCACAAGUGAACCCAGCAACUCUGGAACUCAGAUCUCAUACGUGUCCUUAACAACUCUGUUAGGACACUCCUCUGCAACUCCCCUCCAGUUAGUUGUGAGUGAAGAAGCCUCUUGGAUGAGAGGUGAAACUGAAACAGGCCCAGCUGCCUCCGAUACAGCACUUACAACUACCAGGCCCUGGAUGACUGAGAACCAGAACCAGCUCUGAGAUCAUUUUGAUGGCUUCUGGCUUCACCAAAAGAAGACGGUGAUAGCCGUAAUGACAGAGUCACAAAGAUUACAUACAUAAAGACGUGAUGACUUUCCUCAAGUGACUGACCACGUGAAUAUGCAGCAGGUCGCCCAUGGAUCCAAUAAGGAAAAAUCUGGAUAGUUGGUGUGAGUGCAUAAAAUAAAUGCAGCACAAUGCAAAAUCAA